rnacentral:rRNA from 1 species
ACAUGCAAGUCGAACGAGACGAUUUAGAAGCUUGCUUUUAUUGAGUCGAGUGGCAAACGGGUGAGUAACGCGUAGACAACCUGCCGCAAAGAUGGGGACAACAGUCCGAAAGGACUGCUAAUACCGAAUGUUGUAUCUCCUCCGCAUGGAAGAGAUAUUAAAGAUGGCCUCUACUUGUAAGCUAUCGCUUUGCGAUGGGUCUGCGUCUGAUUAGCUAGUUGGUGAGGUUAACGGCCCACCAAGGCGACGAUCAGUAGCCGGCCUGAGAGGGUGAACGGCCACAUUGGGACUGAGACACGGCCCAAACUCCUACGGGAGGCAGCAGUGGGGAAUCUUCCGCAAUGGGCGAAAGCCUGACGGAGCAACGCCGCGUGAGUGAUGACGGCCUUCGGGUUGUAAAGCUCUGUGAUCGGGGACGAACGGUCAGCAGACGAAUACUCUGCUGAAGUGACGGUACCCGAAUAGCAAGCCACGGCUAACUACGUG